rnacentral:rRNA from 1 species
AUUGAACGCUGGCGGUAGGCCUAACACAUGCAAGUCGAACGAGUGGCGGACGGGUGAGUAAUGUCUGGGAACCUGCCUGAUGGAGGGGGAUACCUACUGGAAACGGUAGCUAAUACCGCAUACCAUCAGAUUUGCCCAGAUGGGCUUAGCUAGUUGUUGGGGUAACGGCUAACCAAGGCGACGAUCCCUAGCUGGUCUGAGAGGAUGACCAGCCACACUGGAACUGAGACACGGUCCAGACUCCUACGGGAGGCAGAAGUGGGGAAUAUUGCACAAUGGGCGCAAGCCUGAUGCAGCCAUGCCGCGUGGAUGAAGAAGGCCUUCGGGUGGUAAAGUACUUUCAGCGGGGAGGCGUUACCCGAAGAAGAAGCACCGGCUAACUCCGUGCCAGCAGCCGCGGUAAUUC